rnacentral:rRNA from 1 species
GACGAGGGACCUAGCGUUGUUCGGAAUCAUUGGGCGUAAAGGGUGCGUAGGCGGCUUGUUAAGUCAGGGGUGAAAGUUUUCGGCCCAACCGGAAAAUUGCCUUUGAUACUGGCGAGCUCGAGUGCGUGAGGGGUAACCGGAACGAGCAGUGUAGCGGUGAAAUGCGUAGAUAUUGCUCGGAAGGCCAACGGCGAAGGCAGGUUACUGGUACGCAACUGACGCUGAGGCACGAAAGCGUGGGGAGCAAACAGG